AGAAGUCUAUAACCAUGGCCAGCCCUGCCAAAAUAGCAAAAGAAGAGUCCGAAACAUUAGAAGGCUUUUUGCACUGUGUCUUGCCGAGCACAGUUUCAAAGCGCAAUGUAAAAUACUUUAAUGCAGUGCUUCAAACUGGUAGAGAUGAAUAUCAUAAAGUUUUGCUCAAGCCUGCAAAAACAUCACGGCAGUGAAGCUGAGGAACGUGAAGCGAAGCAUUAGUAAGUCGUAAUUUUUUUUAAAUGAAAGUAAAUACAACAGGCAAUUGUAAUUCACACCAAGUGGUCAUUUAGCCUAAAUUGAAAUCAUGUUUACUGAUUGUUGUUAUGUUUUCUAGGCUUCUCGGAUCCUGCCGGGUUUCACAUCCUAUGCAACAGAGCUACCAGCUUCCAGGUGGUCAAGGUGCCAUUUUUGCCAACGGUCCCUCCCAGCAGUUCAAAACUGUACAUUGCCAAGGUGCAAGCGCUUGGACCUAGGCAAACUGUCAGUGUCAUGGAAGCGAAAAUUCUGGCCCAGGGAACCCUGAGCAAAGUUGUCCCUGUGAAUGGAACAGACUGCGAGCUAAAAGUAUUCCAGAUCGGCGAUUCAUCAGGACAGGUGAAACUUACUUUGUGGGACAAACAGAUUAUUCAAGUGGGUGCUUUGAAAUCCUAAAAGUUAACCUAUCGACAAGAGAAAGGAAAGGAGGAAUAUAUCUGUCGGGGAGUCCAUCCACUACGAUCACAGAGGCUGAUUGCAGUGAACUUGGUGAGGGCGAGAAGCUUUCCAAAUUGUCAGGAACUGUUAGUGGAAUACAGGUGAUCUGCAAACGUCGCUGUCCAAAAUGCCAGACACCCCAGGAUGAGUUCAAAGCCAAGUCAUCGGUCCACAGAUGUGAGUGCUGCAAACUGCUGCAGAAGUCAUGCUGCUACUCCACAACAGUAUAGAGGCACCAUGUCACUGACAAUCAACGGCACAGAUCAUGGACUGACGGUCACAAAUUCCGCAAUUAGUGCGUACUUCACUGAGUAUAACGUGCCAUCUACUGAAUGACAUGGAGGAGCUCUUCAUUAAUGUUGCUGAGUUUAAUGUUUCUGUCAAUGAAAAGAGCUUGAUCACGACAAUCAAGCAGCGUUUUGAAAAGAAUGAGGACACUUCUGCGAAGGAUGAUGGUGGUCCUGGAAACGCUGUUGAUGGAUUCAGGGUUUCCGCCAGUGUAUUGCAAGCCCGGCGGCCCACCGGGCCUAAGUUGACCCCCGCCGGGCCUAAGCAUCGGAGAAUUUAAAAAAUUAAAAAAAUGUAUGUAUGUUUAAGAUGUUUUUCAAACUACAGUUACAGUGGGGCGGCUCAAUUGAAAAGCUCACCAGCGACAUCUGUUGGUUAAAACGUGAACGCACUGUAGGAAAGCAGGUCUGAGGUCAGUGUUCUUUACCCUCAUUGUGCGCAGAGUGACGUUCAACACUCGACGCUUCCAACUAACACAAGCUAACGUUACCUAGCAAGCCACCAUUUCGUAUUUAGUAGGCUAACUAACCUCGUUACAAACUGCGUUAUCACUUCAUCUCGUCGGUAAGUAAAUUCUUUUUAUAUUAACUUAAGCAGUGUGUAGGUAACGUUAAAAUAGUAGCAUGAAUGUAACAUUCGAUAUAUUGUAACAUUACAUGACUUAUUCAUUGCCAUCGAAAUCACAACUUCACUUGUUUAUUAAUAACGUUAGCUUGAUGACAUUGAUGUGCACGACAACGUUGUCAUAAAGUUUUUCCCGACCGUGAAAAGUGCCUGACUUGUUUACAUUUUGGGCAGAUGUGGCUACAUAGUAAAUCCAUUGUUGUUUUCAUUGCAGCACUUUCGACACAAGUAAUAUCGGAAAAAUCCUAAAAUUUCUUCUUAUGGUGAAGAGUGCCUGACCGGCAAAUGUAAAAAUGUGUUAACACAGCGGCAAAAAGGAGGAAAGGUAACCUACUGUAAAAGCCAAAAAACCUUAGACAGUUUUUUAAAUGUGCUCAGCAUUCCAAGGUUUGUUGUAAGAUUCAGUAGGCAAUCAGGACUUGAAUACAAGUUUUUUGUAGAGUGCAAAAACUUUGAUAUUAUUUAUUUAAAUUUAAUUUAAUUUCUUUUGUUGUUGAAGAAACCACAGCAUUCCAAGACUGUACAUUGUUGUCAGAUUCUUUGUAAGACUCUGCUAUGCUGUAAAUAGUUGUUGAUUUUUUAAAAUGUGUGUUGAAUAAAUUACUUAUUUAUAACAACAUUC